rnacentral:rRNA from 1 species
UACGUAGGUGGCAAGCGUUGUCCGGAUUUACUGGGCGUAAAGAGCGCGCAGGCGGUCGUUCAAGUCGCGUGUGAAAGCCCCCGGCUCAACUGGGGAGGGUCACGCGAUACUGAUCGACUCGAAGGCAGGAGAGGGUAGUGGAAUUCCCGGUGUAGUGGUGAAAUGCGUAGAUAUCGGGAGGAACACCAGUGGCGAAGGCGGCCAUCUGGGACAACACUGACGCUGAGGCACGAAAGCGUGGGGAGCAAACAGG